UCAGUAACACGUGGAUAACUUGCCCUUGGGUCCGGGAUAACCCCUGAGAAAUUGGGGACAAUACCGGAUAGGGCAUCGAUUGCUGGAAUGCGCUGAUGUCCAAAAGCUGAGGCGCCCAAGGAUAGGUCUGCGGUCGAUUAGGUUGUUGUUGAUGUAAUUGAUCAACAAGCCUGCAAUCGGUACGGGUUGUGAGAGCAAGAGCCCGGAGAUGGGUUCUGAGAAAAGAACCCAGGUCCUACGGGACGCAUCAGGCGCGAAAACUUUACAAUGUGCGAAAGCACAAUAAGGGAACUCUGAGUGCCUCCUAUGGAGGCUGUUCAGGUGUCUAAAAAGCACUUGAAGUAAGGGCUGGGUAAGACCGGUGCCAGCCGCCGCGGUAACACCGGCAGCCCAAGUGGUAGCCACGAUAAUUGGGUCUAAAGCGUACGUAGCCGGCCAGGUAAGUUCUUUGGGAAAUGUAACCGCUCAACGGUAAGCUUUCACGGAAACUUGCUUGGCUUGGGACCGGAAGAGGCAGAGGUACUUNAAGGGUAGGGGGUGAAAUCCUAAAAUCAGCCGAAUUCCAACA
rnacentral:rRNA from 1 species